UUUGGUGGCCACACCUUAGUGUCAGCGCCCAAUAGCGUUCGAUCUCAGAAGCUAAGCAGGGCUGUGCCUGGUUAGUACUUGGAAGGGAGAACAACUUGGAAGACCACGGGCCUCUAGCC
rnacentral:rRNA from 12 species